UGUCAAGUAUGCGUUGAGUUAAACAAUAGAACAGAAGCUGUUUUAUUCAUUGAUCAAUAAAGAAAAAAAUUAGCAUUUUACACGGUUAAAUUUUCUAAUCGGCACUGAAGAUACAGAAUUAAAGAUAUGAACAAUGAAAUUGAAGAAAAGGAGGAUUUUCCCGUCGAAAGUGGCAAACACACGGGCACAUCUAGUUCUACAGAGAGUGAAAGGCAGGAUACUGACCACGAUGAACAGCAUACUUCGAGUUCAAAGAAUAAAUCUACACAGAGCCCAUUUGAGGAAAACAACCCAGACAUUUCAGAUUUAGGAAUGGAACAAUCAGAAGUGAAGACAGUUCAGUGGCUUCAUGGAAACAUAGAAACACGGUACAUCGCAAAUCAAGGCUUCCAACACAUAUUUAUAAUGGAUUCAACAACGACAGCCUCUUCAGCACUGAAACUAAGAUUUACUGGAGACCCUCAUCGAACUCUGUUACAGAUGUGAACUUUUCUUUAUGUUUAUCUGAAAAAACUAUUGAAGCACGUUUAAUUAAUGACUCUUCAUUUUUGGUGAGCACUGAUUGGACCAGGAAAUGGGAGCGCACGGUUGUUUUAAAUAAAUCUGGGACAGAUAAAUUUAUGCAGCACUUGGAAAAACAGAGUACUAGAAUCGAUUUUGAAAGACUCGUUUCCGGGAAACCACAUACAAAGGCAUGCGAAUUUCUCAAAUGUCGUUUUCUGGAGAACAGAAGAAUUGAAAGUACGGAAACGUUCGCCUUUAUCAUCAGGCGCUAUUCAACAAUAUUUAAAAACGGAGAAAAGAAAUAUCUUCACGUAACAGAUGACGGCGACCUUAAUCUUCUCAAUGAAUUCAGCAAAUCAUCAGACUUCAAAUUGAUUCCGGCUCGCCACUACGCAUUUAUUGUUCUGAAUGAAAUAUCAACAAAUCGAUGUUUGAAAGUGGAAGGAAAGGAAGGUCAAUUUGUGGGUGUAAACUACAAACCUGUUGACAAAAUUGGGGAUGAUUUUAGAUUUCAAUUAUCUAAAUGUGGAAAAAGUUGUAAUUUCAAACGUUCGUGUAAACAUUGUGUGAUUAUCUAAAAUUGAAUAUGCAGAUAGUUCAUUCAUCUCUGGUUCCCGUGCAUUGUUUUACGGUCACCGAUUGUGUUAUUUUUACAACCGGCAAGAGUUAUAUUGAGGGCCCUACAGAGGGUACCUGCUCUAACUCUUAAUAUUGUUUAUUCUUAAACUUUCAAAUCUCUAAAGUAUAAUUAUAUCAAGUCAGGUUUUUUUUAAACAGCUUCAAUAAACAUGUAGAGUUACAAAUAAAUGUACGUAUAAAUACAUGUUUAAGUGUACCAGUUGACUGGACUUCGCUCCUUUUCUAUGUCAGUUAUUUCCCCUAUUCCUUUUUAAUACAUUUUCAAAAGAUUAUAGAUGUCAAAUAACUACAUAGAUUUCAUGUAAAAAUUAUUCAAGGGAAAAUCAAGAUACUUUUUGUUAAGGGAGAAAUGAUCAGAAAUUGACAAAAAGGGGGGGGGGGUUAAUGACAAACCAGGCAAAUACAUGAAAAAGACUUAGGUGUAUGUUUGGUGAGUUUGCUAUCAGAAAAUGUCGAUGCGGCAUAUAAUGAUCUUAUCAUAUUUCAACCGUGCAAGUUAUUCUUAAAAUUUUUGAUUUCAUCUUUAAUAUAAGGGCAUUUAGCAGAAUCCAAGAUUUUAAAAUAACCCACAAUUUCUUGUCAUCAUUUUAAGGUAUUAAUAAAUAUUUCAUCCUAGACCUGUGGAAACAACGUUGUGUUUUCGUAAACUUUAAAUGUUUUCUAGUGUGAAAAAAUAUUCAGACUAAGAGAAAUAAAACGUUCCUCUCAUCACAGGGCAUGGUAACAGCAAUAUUUUUCUAAACGUCCGUCGCUGACUUUUUUUUAGCAAAACAUAUCUUACUCAUAAACAUUUUGACUGAGUAUUUUUAAUGGUUUAAGUUAAAUAUUUCUAUCUAACGUUUAAAGCAAAGUAUAAUUUGAUAUUUUUCAGUCUACAAACAAAAACAAAGACUUGGAACGUGUUUUAACUUUGGACCAUCAUAUGGAGGCCCAAAUUUAAUCUCCUCGCGUGUAAGACCAUUGUUGUUGAUAUCCAAUGACAAUCGCGAUUACCUCAUCAUGUUUAAACCAUUGCCGUGACGUCAGCCAGCCUAUUCAUUUACCGUGGUUUCUAUUUCUAAAAUCAACGCUUCCCAAAUCAGUCGCUGAAAUGGACUCACCAAAUUAUAUUCAAUUGUUUCUUUUGUGUGCCUAAUUUCAUUAAGUUUGAAUUGGCUAAUGUACUGAUUUCUGUUCACUUAUAGAAUUAGUUUAAAAACUUUGCUUUAACUUAUGUAAUUUUUAUGUGCCUUCACUGGGAGUCGAACCCCUCCUUGAAGUAUGUUAUGUGUGACUGACAUCAACACAUCGACGAAACCUCUCGGCUACCAUUGGGUUGCAAUUUAGAUGUCUAUUUUAUAGAUAUAAAUGAACAUAUGAUUCACAUUGGUACAACGGACACACAGGGCUUGUACCUUAUAAAUACAUAAUAGACAAUCGUAUAGUAUAAGUUGGUAGCCGCGAGGUUAGUAUCAAUGAGUUAUAGAGUCAAGUUAGAAGUAGACACUUGUCAGUUAAGGUUCGAAUUCUUAUUUUCUCUUUGUUGUCCCUAUUCUUUAGUUUUUUCGUUUUUCUUAUUUUGUAUGAUAUUGUGGAUAUUUUUCUAAUAAAAGAAGGUUUUCAAAUUUA